rnacentral:rRNA from 1 species
GACGAACGCUGGCGGCGUGCUUAACACAUGCAAGUCGAACGGAAAGGCCCUGCUUUUGUGGGGUGCUCGAGUGGCGAACGGGUGAGUAACACGUGAGUAACCUGACCUUGACUUUGGGAUAACUUCAGGAAACUGGGGCUAAUACCGGAUCGGAGCUCCUGCUGCAUGGUGGGGGUUGGAAAGUUUCGGCGGUUGGGGAUGGACUAGCGGCUUAUCAGCUUGUUGGUGGGGUAGUGGCUGACCAAGGCUUUGACGGGUAGCCGGCCUGAGAGGGUGACCGGCCACAUUGGGCCUGAGAUACGGCCCAGACUCGUACGGGAGGCAGCAGUGGGGAAUAUUGCACAAUGGGCGGAAGCCUGAUGCAGCGACGCCGCGUGCGGGAUGACGGCCUUCGGGUUGUAAACCGCUUUCGCCUGUGACGAAGCGUGAGUGACGGUAAUGGGUAAAGAAGCACCGGCUAACUACGUG